GCCGCGUGAGUGAUGAAGGUUUUCGGAUCGUAAAGCUCUGUUGUUAGGGAAGAACAAGUACCGUUCGAAUAGGGCGGUACCUUGACGGUACCUAACCAGAAAGCCACGGCUAACUACGUGCCAGCAGCCGCGGUAAUACGUAGGUGGCAAGCGUUGUCCGGAAUUAUUGGGCGUAAAGGGCUCGCAGGCGGUUUCUUAAGUCUGAUGUGAAAGCCCCCGGCUCAACCGGGGAGGGUCAUUGGAAACUGGGGAACUUGAGUGCAGAAGAGGAGAGUGGAAUUCCACGUGUAGCGGUGAAAUGCGUAGAGAUGUGGAGGAACACCAGUGGCGAAGGCGACUCUCUGGUCUGUAACUGACGCUGAGGAGCGAAAGCGUGGGGAGCGAACAGGAUUAGAUACCCUGGUAGUCCACGCCGUAAACGAUGAGUGCUAAGUGUUAGGGGGUUUCCGCCCCUUAGUGCUGCAGCUAACGCAUUAAGCACUCCGCCUGGGGAGUACGGUCGCAAGACUGAAACUCAAAGGAAUUGACGGGGGCCCGCACAAGCGGUGGAGCAUGUGGUUUAAUUCGAAGCAACGCGAAGAACCUUACCAGGUCUUGACAUCCUCUGACAAUCCUAGAGAUAGGACGUCCCCCUUC
rnacentral:rRNA from 1 species